rnacentral:rRNA from 1 species
UACGAAGGGGGGCGAGCGUUUGUUCGGAUUUACUGGGCGUAAAGGGCGCGCAGGCGGCUCAUUUUGUCAGGCGUGAAAGCCCCGGGCUUAACCUGGGAACUGCGUUUGAUACGGAUGGGCUAGAGUUCGGGAGAGGAGAGUGGAAUUCCCAGUGUAGAGGUGAAAUUCGUAGAUAUUGGGAAGAACACCGGUGGCGAAGGCGGAUUUCUGGGACAUAACUGACGCGUGAGGCGCGAAAGCGUGGGGAUCAAACAGG